rnacentral:rRNA from 1 species
AACUGAAUCCAUAGGUUAAUGAGGCGAACCGGGGGAACUGAAACAUCUAAGUACCCCGAGGAAAAGAAAUCAACCGAGAUUCCCCCAGUAGCGGCGAGCGAACGGGGAGGAGCCCAGAGCCUGAAUCAGUGUGUGUGUUAGUGGAAGCGUCUGGAAAGGCGUGCGAUACAGGGUGACAGCCCCGUACACAAAAAUGCACAUAUUGUGAGCUCGAUGAGUAGGGCGGGACACGUGGUAUCCUGUCUGAAUAUGGGGGGACCAUCCUCCAAGGCUAAAUACUCCUGACUGACCGAUAGUGAACCAGUACCGUGAGGGAAAGGCGAAAAGAACCCCGGCGAGGGGAGUGAAAAAGAACCUGAAACCGUGUACGUACAAGCAGUGGGAGCCUCUUAAUGGGGUGACUGCGUACCUUUUGUAUAAUGGGUCAGCGACUUAUAUUCUGUAGCAAGGUUAACCGAAUAGGGGAGCCGAAGGGAAACCGAGUCUUAACUGGGCGUUAAGUUGCAGGGUAUAGACCCGAAACCCGGUGAUCUAGCCAUGGGCAGGUUGAAGGUUGGGUAACACUAACUGGAGGACCGAACCGACUAAUGUUGAAAAAUUAGCGGAUGACUUGUGGCUGGGGGUGAAAGGCCAAUCAAACCGGGAGAUAGCUGGUUCUCCCCGAAAGCUAUUUAGGUAGCGCCUCGUGAAUUCAUCUCCGGGGGUAGAGCACUGUUUCGGCAAGGGGGUCAUCCCGACUUACCAACCCGAUGCAAACUGCGAAUACCGGAGAAUGUUAUCACGGGAGACACACGGCGGGUGCUAACGUCCGUCGUGAAGAGGGAAACAACCCAGACCGCCAGCUAAGGUCCCAAAGUCAUGGUUAAGUGGGAAACGAUGUGGGAAGGCCCAGACAGCCAGGAUGUUGGCUUAGAAGCAGCCAUCAUUUAAAGAAAGCGUAAUAGCUCACUGGUCGAGUCGGCCUGCGCGGAAGAUGUAACGGGGCUAAACCAUGCACCGAAGCUGCGGCAGCGACACUAUGUGUUGUUGGGUAGGGGAGCGUUCUGUAAGCCUGUGAAGGUGGCCUGUGAGGGUUGCUGGAGGUAUCAGAAGUGCGAAUGCUGACAUAAGUAACGAUAAAGCGGGUGAAAAGCCCGCUCGCCGGAAGACCAAGGGUUCCUGUCCAACGUUAAUCGGGGCAGGGUGAGUCGACCCCUAAGGCGAGGCCGAAAGGCGUAGUCGAUGGGAAACAGGUUAAUAUUCCUGUACUUGGUGUUACUGCGAAGGGGGGACGGAGAAGGCUAUGUUGGCCGGGCGACGGUUGUCCCGGUUUAAGCGUGUAGGCUGGUUUUCCAGGCAAAUCCGGAAAACCAAGGCUGAGGCGUGAUGA